rnacentral:rRNA from 1 species
ACAGGGAUUGCCUCAGUAACGGCGAGUGAAGCGGCAACAGCUCAAAUUUGAAAUCUGGUCCCCUCUGGGGGCCCGAGUUGUAAUUUGAAGAGGAUGCUUUUGGCGAGGCGCCUUCCGAGUGCCCUGGAACGGGACGCCACAGAGGGUGAGAGCCCCGUAUGGUAGGACGCCGAGCCUCUGUAAAGCUCCUUCGACGAGUCGAGUAGUUUGGGAAUGCUGCUCAAAAUGGGAGGUAAACCCCUUCUAAAGCUAAAUAUUGGCCAGAGACCGAUAGCGCACAAGUAGAGUGAUCGAAAGAUGAAAAGCACUUUGAAAAGAGAGUUAAACAGCACGUGAAAUUGUUGAAAGGGAAGCGCUUGCGACCAGACUUGCGCCCGUCGGAUCAACCGUCCCUCGUGGGCGGCGCACUCCGGCGGGCUCAGGCCAGCAUCAGUUUUCCUGGGGGGAGAAAGGCGGUGGGAAUGUAGCUCUUCGGAGUGUUAUAGCCCGCCGCGUAAUGCCCUCGGGGGGACUGAGGACCGCGCGUAUGCAAGGAUGCUGGCGUAAUGGUCGUCAGCGACCCGUCUUGAAACACGGACCAAGGAGUCGUCCUAAUAUGCGAGUGUACGGGUGUAAAACCCCUGCGCGUAAUGAAAGUGAACGGAGGUGAGAGCUUCGGCGCAUCAUCGACCGAUCCUGAUGUUCUCGGAUGGAUUUGAGUAAGAGCAUAUUGGGCCGGACCCGAAAGAAGGUGAACUAUGCCUGUAUAGGGUGAAGCCAGAGGAAACUCUGGUGGAGGCUCGCAGCGGUUCUGACGUGCAAAUCGAUCGUCAAAUAUGGGCAUGGGGGCGAAAGACUAAUCGAACCU